CCUGAGUUUAGACAUAGCUCA
rnacentral:piRNA from 1 species